GUAGUUCAGGUUGGCCUUGAACUCACUAUGUAGUCCAGGCUGGCCUUGAACUCAAAAAUCCUCCUGCCUCAGCCUCCCAAGUGCUGAGAUUACAGACAUGUGCCACCAUGGCUC
rnacentral:miRNA from 1 species